UACGUAGGGGGCUAGCGUUGUCCGGAAUCAUUGGGCGUAAAGAGCGUGUAGGCGGCCCGGUAAGUCCGCUGUGAAAGUCGGGGGCUCAACCCUCGAAUGCCGGUGGAUACUGUCGGGCUAGAGUGCGGAAGGGGCGAGUGGAAUUCCUGGUGUAGCGGUGAAAUGCGCAGAUAUCAGGAGGAACACCAAUUGCGAAGGCAGCUCUCUGGGACGGUACUGACGCUGAGACGCGAAAGCGUGGGGAGCGAACAGG
rnacentral:rRNA from 1 species